rnacentral:rRNA from 1 species
UGGGGAAUAUUGCACAAUGGGCGGAAGCCUGAUGCAGCGACGCCGCGUGGGGGAUGAAGGCCUUCGGGUUGUAAACUCCUUUCGACAGGGACGAAGCUUUUGUGACGGUACCGGUAUAAGAAGCACCGGCUAACUACGUGCCAGCAGCCGCGGUAAUACGUAGGGUGCGAGCGUUGUCCGGAAUUACUGGGCGUAAAGAGCUCGUAGGUGGUUUGUCGCGUCGUCUGUGAAAUUCCGGGGCUUAACUCCGGGCGUGCAGGCGAUACGGGCUGACUUGAGUGCUGUAGGGGAGACUGGAAUUCCUGGUGUAGCGGUGAAAUGCGCAGAUAUCAGGAGGAACACCGAUGGCGAAGGCAGGUCUCUGGGCAGUAACUGACGCUGAGGAGCGAAAGCAUGGGUAGCGAACAGG